CCUACGGGGGGCAGCAGUGAGGAAUAUUGGUCAAUGGACGAGAGUCUGAACCAGCCAAGUAGCGUGAAGGAUGACUGCUCUAUGGAUCGUAAACUUCUUUUAUAUGGGAAUAAAUUGUGCAACGUGUGGCGUUUUGUAUGUACCUUAUGAAUAAGGAUCGGCUAACUCCGUGCCAGCAGCCGCGGUAAUACGGAGGAUCCGAGCGUUAUCCGGAUUUAUUGGGUUUAAAGGGAGCGUAGGUGGAUUGUUAAGUCAGUUGUGAAAGUUUGCGGCUCAACCGUAAAAUUGCAGUUGAAACUGGCAGUCUUGAGUAUAGUAGAGGUGGGCGGAAUUCGUGGUGUAGCGGUGAAAUGCUUAGAUAUCACGAAGAACUCCGAUUGCGAAGGCAGCUCACUGGGCUGCAACUGACACUGAGGCUCGAAAGUGUGGGGAUCAAACAGGAUUAGAUACCCCAGUAGUC
rnacentral:rRNA from 1 species